AUUGAACGCUGGCGGCAGGCCUAACACAUGCAAGUCGAGCGGAUGAAGGGAGCUUGCUCUCUGAUUCAGCGGCGGACGGGUGAGUAAUGCCUAGGAAUCUGCCUGGUAGUGGGGGACAACGUUUCGAAAGGAACGCUAAUACCGCAUACGUCCUACGGGAGAAAGCAGGGGACCUUCGGGCCUUGCGCUAUCAGAUGAGC
rnacentral:rRNA from 1 species